rnacentral:rRNA from 1 species
AGUGAACGCUGGCGGUAGGCCUAACACAUGCAAGUCGAACGGCAGCACAGUAAGAGCUUGCUCUUACGGGUGGCGAGUGGCGGACGGGUGAGGAAUACAUCGGAAUCUACUUUUUCGUGGGGGAUAACGUAGGGAAACUUACGCUAAUACCGCAUACGACCUACGGGUGAAAGCAGGGGAUCUUCGGACCUUGCGCGAUUGAAUGAGCCGAUGUCGGAUUAGCUAGUUGGCGGGGUAAAGGCCCACCAAGGCGACGAUCCGUAGCUGGUCUGAGAGGAUGGACAGCCAAACUGGAACCUAGAAAAGGUCCAGACUCCUACGGGAGGCAGCAGUGGGGAAUAUUGGACAAUGGGCGCAAGCCUUAUCCAGCCAUACCGCGUGGGUGAAGGAGGCCUUCGGGUUGGAAAAGCCUUUUGGUGGGAAAGAAAAGCCGCCGGUUAAAACCCCGCCUGUCUGACGGGAACCAAAGAAUAAGCAACGGCUAACCUCGUG